UGGGGAAUAUUGGACAAUGGGGGCAACCCUGAUCCAGCCAUGCCGCGUGUGUGAAGAAGGCCUUUUGGUUGUAAAGCACUUUAAGCAGUGAAGAAGACUCCAUGGUUAAUACCCAUGGACGAUGACAUUAGCUGCAGAAUAAGCACCGGCUAACUCUGUGCCAGCAGCCGCGGUAAUACAGAGGGUGCCAGCGUUAAUCGGAAUUACUGGGCGUAAAGCGAGCGUAGGUGGCUUGAUAAGUCAGAUGUGAAAGCCCCGGGCUUAACCUGGGAACGGCAUCUGAUACUGUUAGGCUAGAGUAGGUGAGAGGAAGGUAGAAUUCCAGGUGUAGCGGUGAAAUGCGUAGAGAUCUGGAGGAAUACCGAUGGCGAAGGCAGCCUUCUGGCAUCAUACUGACACUGAGGUUCGAAAGCGUGGGUAGCAAACA
rnacentral:rRNA from 1 species